rnacentral:rRNA from 1 species
UUAGUGGCGAACGGGUGAGUAACACGUGAGUAACCUGCCCUUCACUUUGGGAUAAGCCUUGGAAACGGGGUCUAAUACCGGGUAUACACAUACUGUCGCAUGGUGGUGUGUGGAAAGCUUUUGUGGUGAGGGAUGGACUCGCGGCCUAUCAGCUUGAUGGUGGGGUAGUGGCCUACCAUGGCUUUGACGGGUAGCCGGCCUGAGAGGGUGACCGGCCACACUGGGACUGAGACACGGCCCAGACUCCUACGGGAGGCAGCAGUGGGGAAUAUUGCACAAUGGGCGGAAGCCUGAUGCAGCGACGCCGCGUGGGGGAUGAAGGCUUUCGGGUCGUAAACUCCUUUCAGCAGGGACGAAGCUUUUGUGACGGUACCUGCAGAAGAAGCACCGGCUAACUACGUGCCAGCAGCCGCGGUAAUACGUAGGGUGCGAGCGUUGUCCGGAAUUAUUGGGCGUAAAGAGCUUGUAGGCGGUUUGUCGCGUCUGCCGUGAAAGCCCAGGGCUUAACCCUGGGUCUGCGGUGGGUACGGGCAGACUAGAGUGUGGUAGGGGAGACUGGAAUUCCUGGUGUAGCGGUGAAAUGCGCAGAUAUCAGGAGGAACACCGAUGGCGAAGGCAGGUCUCUGGGCCACUACUGACGC